GAUGAACGCUGGCGGCGUGCCUAACACAUGCAAGUCGAGCGAUUUACUUCGGUAAAGAGCGGCGGACGGGUGAGUAACGCGUGGGUAACCUGCCUCAUACACAUGGAUAACAUACCGAAAGGUAUGCUAAUACAAGAUGAUAUAAGAGAUUCGCAUGGAUUUCUUAUCAAAGCUCCGGCGGUAUGAGAUGGACCCGCGUCUGAUUAGCUAGUUGAUAAGGUAAGGGCUUACCAAGGCGACGAUCAGUAGCCGACCUGGGAGGGUGAUCGGCGACGUUGGAACUGAGACACGGUCCAAACUCCUACGGGAGGCAGCAGUGGGGAAUAUUGCACAAUGGGCGAAAGCCUGAUGCAGCAACGCCGCGUGAGCGAUGAAGGCCUUCGGGUCGUAAAGCUCUGUCCUCAAGGAAGAUAAUGACGGUACUUGAGGAGGAAGCCCCGGCUAACUACGUGCCAGCAGCCGCGGUAAGAC
rnacentral:rRNA from 1 species